UACGGGGGGGGCAAGCGUUGUUCGGAAUUACUGGGCGUAAAGGGCUCGUAGGUUGCCAACUAAGUCAGACGUGAAAUCCCUCGGCUUAACCGGGGAACUGCGUCUGAUACUGGAUGGCUUGAGUUCGGGAGAGGGAUGCGGAAUUCCAGGUGUAGCGGUGAAACGCGUAGAUAUCUGGAGGAACACCGGUGGCGAAGGCGGCAUCCUGGACCGACACUGACACUGAGGAGCGAAAGCCAGGGGAGCAAACGGG
rnacentral:rRNA from 1 species